rnacentral:rRNA from 1 species
UCCGUAGGUGAAACCUGCGGAGGGAUCAUUGCUGGAACUGCGCCCCCCUACGGGCGCAAC